rnacentral:ncRNA from 1 species
GUUAGAGCUCUAUGCUUUAUGCAGAGUGAUAGCGUGCCUUUUGUAGAAUGAACCGGCGAGUUACGAUUUCAUGCAAGGUUAAGCUGAAGAGGCGGAGCCGCAGGUAGCCGUAUCGGAAGGUGCGGCUGGAUCACCUCCUUUCUAAGGAAUAUGGAAAACCACUUACGUGGUUCAGACGUCUUCUGUUUUGUUCAGUUUUGAAAGGUUAAUCCUUUCAGUUUAAUAGAGGUGAAUUAGAAGCGAGAAGGUCUCACUGGUCGAGUGACUCUGCGCCGAAAAUGUACCGGGGCUAAACGUAUCACCGAAGCUGUGGAUGGACAUCUUAUGCAUCUUUUCCUUCGGAAAAAUGCUGGAUGUCCGUGGUAGGAGAGCGUUCUAAGGGCUGCGAAGCUAGACCGUAAUCACUGGUCGAGUGACUCUGCGCCGAAAAUGUACCGGGGCUAAACGUAUCACCGAAGCUGUGGAUGGACAUCUUAUGAUGUCCGUGGUAGGAGAGCGUUCUAAGGGCUGCGAAGCUAGACCGUAAGGACUGGUGGAGCGCUUAGAAGUGAGAA